rnacentral:misc_RNA from 1 species
GGAGGAGGACGCCGAAGGUGGGGCUAAUGACUGGGGUGAAGUCGUAACAAGGUAGCCGUACCGGAAGGUGCGGCUGGAUCACCUCCUAACAGGGAGACAACAAAAUGUUUAAUAUUAUUAUUUUGUCACCUUAGGUCGAUCGGUAUCUCACGUUCUUAAUUUUUAAGAAUUUCAUUUCCUAAGUUUUUCUAGGUCACACCCAUUUUUUUUUCCUGGGCCAUUAGCUCAGGUGGUUAGAGCGCACCCCUGAUAAGGGUGAGGUCCCUGGUUCAAGUCCAGGAUGGCCCAUAUCUCUAUGUUGGGGGUAUAGCUCAGUUGGUAGAGCGCCUGCUUUGCAAGCAGGAUGUCAGCGGUUCGAGUCCGCUUACCUCCACUGAUUACCACCUCUUCCAUAAUCUGUAGAAAGGAAAAAAUUUUGAGUUUUGAUCACAUUACUGAACGAAUCUAGCUUCCUAAUGAAACCAUUAAGAUGCUGGACUCAUUGAAUUAAUUUCAUUGUUUUCAGAGAACCUUGACAACUGCAUAGAUUAUUUUUAAAGACAAUAAGCAUCUUUAAUGAUGCAGAUUUAUUAUUUGUGCGAAUGCAUUAAUAACAAUUCUAUUAAGCUGAUGCUUCAAUUUUGAAGUUAUUGGUCAAGCUACAAAGGGCUCACGGAGGAUACCUAG